rnacentral:rRNA from 1 species
UACGGGGGGAGCAAGCGUUGUUCGGAUUUACUGGGCGUAAAGGGCGCGUAGGCGGCGUGACAAGUCACUUGUGAAAUCUCCGGGCUUAACUCGGAACGGUCAAGUGAUACUGUCGUGCUAGAGUACAGAAGGGGCAACUGGAAUUCUCGGUGUAGCGGUGAAAUGCGUAGAUAUCGAGAGGAACACCUGCGGCGAAGGCGGGUUGCUGGGCUGAUACUGACGCUGAGGUGCGAGAGCGUGGGGAGCGAACCGG